AGUCAACAUGCCCAGGGGACGUGGAUAACCUCGGGAAACUGAGGAUAAACCGCGAUAAGUCACUACUUCUGGAAUGGGUAAUGACUCAAAUCUACAUGGCCCCUGGAUUGGACUGCGGCCGAUCAGGCUGUUGGUGAGGUAAUGGCCCACCAAACCUGUAACCGGUACGGGCUCUGAGAGGAGGAGCCCGGAGAUGGGCACUGAGACAAGGGCCCAGGCCCUAUGGGGCGCAGCAGGCGCGAAACCUCUGCAAUAGGCGAAAGCCUGACAGGGUUACUCUGAGUGAUUUCCGUUAAGGAGAUCUUUUGGCACCUCUAAAAAUGGUGCAGAAUAAGGGGUGGGCAAGUCUGGUGUCAGCCGCCGCGGUAAUACCAGCACCCCGAGUGGUCGGGACGUUUAUUGGGCCUAAAGCAUCCGUAGCCGGUUCUACAAGUCUUCCGUUAAAUCCACCUGCUUAACAGAUGGGCUGCGGAAGAUACUAUAGAGCUAGGAGGCGGGAGAGGCAAGCGGUACUCGAUGGGUAGGGGUAAAAUCCGUUGAUCCAUUGAAGACCACCAGUGGCGAAGGCGGCUUGCCAGAACGCGCUCGACGGUGAGGGAUGAAAGCUGGGGGAGCAAACCGGAUUAGAUACCCGGGUAGUCCCAGCUGUAAACGAUGCAGACUCGGUGAUGAAUUGGC
rnacentral:rRNA from 1 species